UACGGGGGGGGCAAGCGUUGUUCGGAAUUACUGGGCGUAAAGGGUUCGUAGGUGGCUUGUUAAGUCAGACGUGAAAUCCCUCGGCUCAACCGGGGAACUGCGUCUGAGACUGAUGAGCUCGAGUGCAGGAGAGGAACGCGGAAUUCCAGGUGUAGCGGUGAAAUGCGUAGAUAUUGGGAGGAACACCAGUGGCGAAGGCGGCUCACUGGAUCGGAACUGACGCUGAUGCGCGAAAGCGUGGGGAGCAAACGGG
rnacentral:rRNA from 1 species